rnacentral:rRNA from 1 species
UACAGAGGGUGCGAGCGUUGUUCGGAAUUAUUGGGCGUAAAGCGCUGGUAGGUGGCUUGACAAGUCGCGUGUGAAAGCUUCCGGCUCAACCGGAAAAGUGCGCGCGAAACUGUGAAGCUUGAGUGCCGGAGAGGGUCGCGGAAUUCCCGGUGUAGAGGUGAAAUUCGUAGAUAUCUCUAAGAACACCAGUUGCGAAGGCGGCUGGCUGGGUCCACAUUGACGCUGAGGCUCGAAAGCGUGGGGAGCAAACAGG